rnacentral:rRNA from 1 species
GACGAACGCUGGCGGCGUGCUUAACACAUGCAAGUCGAACGGAAAGGCCCUGCUUUUGUGGGGUGCUCGAGUGGCGAACGGGUGAGUAACACGUGAGUAACCUGCCCUUGACUUUGGGAUAACUUCAGGAAACUGGGGCUAAUACCGGAUAGGAGCUCCUGCUGCAUGGUGGGGGUUGGAAAGUUUCGGCGGUUGGGGAUGGACUCGCGGCUUAUCAGCUUGUUGGUGGGGUAGUGGCUUACCAAGGCUUUGACGGGUAGCCGGCCUGAGAGGGUGACCGGCCACAUUGGGACUGAGAUACGGCCCAGACUCCUACGGGAGGCAGCAGUGGGGAAUAUUGCACAAUGGGCGGAAGCCUGAUGCAGCAACGCCGCGUGCGGAUGACGGCCUUCGGGUUGUAAACCGCUUUCGCCUGUGACGAAGCGUGAGUGACGGUAAUGGGGAAAGAAGCACCGGCUAACUACGU